rnacentral:rRNA from 1 species
UACAGAGGGGGCAAGCGUUGUUCGGAAUUACUGGGCGUAAAGGGCGCGUAGGCGGCCGCCUAAGUCAGACGUGAAAUCCCUCGGCUCAACCGGGGAACUGCGUCUGAUACUGGGUGGCUUGAAUCCGGGAGAGGGGUGCGGAAUUCCAGGUGUAGCGGUGAAAUGCGUAGAUAUCUGGAGGAACACCGGUGGCGAAGGCGGGUCUCUGGGCCGAUAUUGACGCUGAGGAGCGAAAGCGUGGGGAGCGAACAGG